UUGGGAUGGCUGGAGCUGAUUGCAAUCCAUGGCUUCUGAUGCCGUUGUGGCUUACAAAGACAGCCUGUGUAACAUUCUUAUGGUAAUGUCAUGCUAAAUGACUGGAGCAAACUGCAGGACAAGAUAAGGUGUCAGAGUGAAAGGAAUUAGCAUGGAGACUUACUGAAAACAUCUUGCAAAAGAAAUAAACACAAUAUAUGUAAAAGAAGACACAUGGACAUCACUGGAGCUGCCUCAUUGCUGACGGUAUGAAGUAGCAGCAGUCUAUCUCAUAUGUGUAUUAUGAUCAAACUCAAUGAAAAAAAUAUUUUUUGGUUGGUUUAAAAAGAAAGGGGAAGAAUGGAAAAAUAGCUGUGGUAGGUACCGUCUUCCACAUGCUGGGUACAAGUAUGCUCAUGGGAGACCCAAACAACAGCCUCGGUGAUGGAAUAAACGAGAAGGUGCAUAAUGUGCAAAGCAGCUUGUCUGUGAAUGAUACAACACUGAAAGAAUUGCCAAAGCAGAGACUGAGUAUGAUGCAAAGCUCACAGAUUUGACAGAAACCAUGCAUUGAGGAUGACCUUAGAAGUUACUUUCAGAGAAACAGCAGAAUUGGAAAAGUGAAAAGGUGACUUGUCACAGAUGAACAACACCGUAUUCAAAGGUAUUCUCGGUUGUAGCAUCUGAAAUCAAACAAGUCAGAAAAAAUCAGAUCAGUAGGGAAUUUAAAAAUAUAUGCAGAAAGUAGGAAGAACUCUGCACUAUUGAGGGUGACAGUUAAUUUAUUCCACUCCUCUCCCUGCCUCGGAGGCCUCUUGGCAGAUAAGAUCAUUGUGUUCAGAGAGUUCUCCCCAGCUUCUCAAUAUGAAACAUGCCUAGAAGAUGACACCAGUCCUUAUGUUCAUUGUUGUUUGCAGAAUGUGAUACACGGUUCAUAAAGAUAUUUUUUCAGAAAGAAGACACAAUGAAAUGUAGUAAUCUUGAAAGGAAAAAAACAAAUGUAUCCCAGCUAUCUACAGAUCAGGAACAGGGUGAUAUGUACGGUACUGAUUAGCUUCAUAUUUAUUAGGCAGAACAAUAAAAUGUAGAGAGGAUGCAUGUGCUCUGUGAGUUAAUUCUAAUGGCUGAUGUCAAGGGAAACUCCAAGGCUGGAAAAAGAAAAAGAAGACAUUCACAAGAAUCCUAAUGUAACAAGUAAUUUAUAUCCUUUAGCUGUCUGCUUCACUGACAGUAAUGAUUAGAAACCAGGAUAUUUUUGACAUCAAAUUUUUACACAUGUAAAAUGUAUUAUAAUGUUAUCUAUAUUCUUCCAUUAUAAUAUACUUUGUUGUGUAGUAGUAAAUGCAUUAUUUUACUGUUCAUAUUGCAAACCAUAUUAUGGUUUGACCAUUUUUUUUUGUUAAUUAUCUUGGUCAAGUCUGCACAGUUAAUAAUCGAAGUCCACAAAUGUACAGUAAUCCUUCAUACAAAAACAAGAAAGUAUAGCUUAUAAUAAAACAAUUAUACAUUUAAUCUUAAUUAGCAACUUAAUAUUACACAAAAGUAAUGUUUUAUAAUUUCAACAGCAGGAAUAUAUAAGCAGUGUAAUGCUUUAAAUAAAACAUUAUACAGUAAUAAGUAAUCGACAUAUAAUUUAAAUGCAAAGAGCAGGGCUGCAGGCUGCAUUCCUUAUUGCAAGCUGAAAUCGUAGAUUUAAUCAUGUUAUGGCUACAGUGCCAAGUCAUGUAAAAAGAACUUUCUAGACAAUGUGUGAACCACUAAUUACAGGCUCCAAAAAGUAAAGAAACCAAAGGUUAGGAAAUGUAAUGCCAAACACUGGCACAGAUCCAGAAGUUCUCCACCUGAGGCAGUGAACAUGGUAAUUAACUAAGGUAAUGUCAACACUUUGGCAAAAGAUUUUAAUAAUGGUGUCUUUUUAUCUUAAUGUUUGAUGCUAUCUCUCUGUUUUUUCCUUCCUUUGUUUUACAUUUGCUCAUAAUUGAUCAUAUCCUCUGCUCACCU